UCGUUCMUGUUGCCAGCACGUCGUGGUGGGGACUCAUGGGAGACUGCCGGGGUCAACUCGGAGGAAGGUGAGGACGACGUCAAAUCAUCAUGCCCCUUAUGUCUUGGGCUUCACGCAUGCKACAAUGGCCGGUACAAUGGGUUGCGAUACUGUGAGGUG
rnacentral:rRNA from 1 species